GCAUACUAAGUUUUGAAAUAUUUUAUCCUUUUAAAGUGAAAAGCUAUCUUGAUUGUAUUUACUUUUUACCCUACAAGAUUAGUUUACACUAAGAUCCUUUCCUAAGCAAUCACAAUAAAGAUAAGAAGACUUAAUAACAAUGUUAGUUUCAUUAUACAAUAUCCAAAGAAAUGGGCUAACAUCGGCAAUAAUAUAAAGUAAGGCGGGGGACUAGACUCUUAUAAUGGGCUGGCAAGCAUCAGGCCCAUUUAAAUCAACUAGCAAUAGGUUUCAACAACAGUAAUGCGGCGAGGAGAGUGGUAGCCCGGUUCAUUGAACUUGGUCCAGAGUUCACAAUGAACUCCACUGGUCGAGUGUGCUCAUGCAAAAGGAGAAGAGGAUUAAUUAGUAUGUGCAUAUAGAAUGUAAAAGCAGAAACAUAAGAGAUGAAUAAAAUUAUAAUCUAAAGUAACAAAGCAAGUCAAAUAAUAUUUGUGAUAAACCUCUAGAUAUUAGUUUAAGUCAAUAUCCAUUGUCUAGAUUGGACCACGCUCCCCUCUCAAGGUUUUUCUUUGACUCCUGGCACUUUCUAGUUCACAAAAGGCCCACAAUAUUUAUUCCAGGGAGGGACUCCUUGUAGUAGAGUCAAAUCCACAGCAAAGGCCAAUAGUAACUAAUAUUUGUUCCUCCGUGAAGGUUUGAACACAAAUAUCAACUUUGAGCUUCAAACAAUAGUUUGACCAAAUAGACUCAAAGAAUUCUUACAAGUAAACUUCUAAAACAUUGAGAGUCUAGCACAGUGCCUCAAAUCAUCAAUAGAAAAUCACUUGUGACUGAGUACCAAGACAUUAGAAACUUGAAAUCUAAAUGAACCUAAACCAGCUUUAGGGCAGUUGUAAGGCUCCGUAAAAAUUUACAAAAGAAAAUAAUAUUUUGGGUUGAACAAUGCACUGGAAAGGAAAGAAAAAAUUUGGGCAGAAGAAAUGCACUUCUGCGGCCCACUAUGCGAUCGCGGAAUCACUCUGCGGACCGCAUAAUGGUCGCAGAGUGAGGCAGGGAAGGGCAAUUUUGGAGACCAGGUUUGCAGCGCAUUAUGCAACCACAGACCAAUUCUGCGGUGCAUUAUUCGACCGCAGAACAGGUCUGCGAGCCGCAUAAUUACCGCAGACCAGGUCAGUCACGCCCAGUUUUGGAGGCAAAACUAUGCGGACCGCAUAUCAAUUAUGCGAUCGCAGACCUUGUUCCGUAGCUUCAUUUUUGUAUUUUUAAAACCCGACCCUACUUCGUUAAAUACACGCUUUGGGCUAUUUUUGAGAUAAAAUCUGACACUUUUAAAGUUAGAGAGUGCCCUAGAGUGAGAAGGUGUUCUUCAACAGUUUGUUUUUCAAUUCUUGCUCGAAUCUUGGAAGAUUAACAAGGAAAAACUCCCUAGGUCUUCAUCCUAAAGGUAAUAUUCUACACCCUAACCCUCAAUUUCGAAUUUUAUCUAGAAUUUGGUUAUUAGCAAGAUAAUUUUGGGCUUGGGAGUUGUCCAUCUUACAUGUAUGUAUUAUCAAAGGGUGUAGGAAGAUUGUGAAGCUAAAAACGGUAAAUAAUGGGUUGUGGUAUGAUAGAAUCCUCUAUAAAAGGACCUUGAAACCUUAAUGCACACCUAGUGUUUUAUAAACUACUCAAAUGAGCUAGAAACAAGAUCAUCUUCCUAUUUUUUGAUCAAUUUGUUAUAUUUCUACAUUAGAUUAAAGUUUCAAAGAAUUACGGAACCUUUUAGAGUUUAAGGAAGUUCAACUGAGGUAUGUUGACUAAACCUUUCUCUUAGAAUUGAAUCCCACGAUAUUCAUGUAAUCUAUGUAAGUCCCGAGUGGUUCAUUAUGAAAUUGGCUAUUCCUAGUAAGAUUGUGUUAAAAGUUAUAUGUUUAAUAAGUACCCCAAAUACCUUAUUUAUGGUACGUUAUCAAUUGAGGAUGUGAUAAUAAUAUUAGCUGGACAUUAAAAAUGUUCGACUUGAAGUCAAAUUCAAACGAAGGCUAUUAUGCCAAAUUUUGUGAAGAAUCUCUAUUUGCCUUAGACUCUUAAUUGCUCACAUGUGUACUACAUGCCUUUAUUUGGAUUGUUGUUUUUGUUAUUGAUGAUGUUGAUGUUAGAAAGUGAAAAGGUGAGCAUGGAAUACUAAAUGCGGCCAACGUGCCAAGAAUGAUUUUAUAAAUAUGGCCAUUAGUGCCAAUGAAAUGAAAAUAUGUGAAAGAACUAUGAAAUGCGAUGAUUGAUAUAAAAAGGUUGAUGUCUCGAAUAAGACAGCCUAGACGAUCAGGUCGUGAUCGGACACCAUGACGCACACAUGGUGAUGAUUGUGCUUGAAAUUCUGAUUUGUGGUCGAUGUCUCCAAUGAGAUAGCCUAGCCGAUCGGGUCGUCAUCAGAUUCCGUGUUAAAGGUACGAUGGUAUUGAUAUUGAGGGUGAUUGUGGUUGAUGUCUCGAAUGAGAUAGCCUAGCCGAUCGGGUCGUGAUGGGACUCCGUGCUAAGAGUACAAUGUUAUUGGUUUUGUGAAUAAUGGUAUUGUGAACGAUGAUAUAUUUGUACUAAGAAUCUCCAACUUAAAAAAAUAUGGAAAUUAAUUUGAAUACAGUCUUGAUCCUAAGUUGAGGUUUGAUGCUUUUUAAGGCUUCCAUUGAUAUUAUGAUAUUCUUAUUUGUUUUAUUUAUCAUUCUAUUCAGAGGGUGUUUUGUCAUUCAUACUAGUACUAUUCCAUAUGUACUAAUGUCCCUUUUUCCGAUGGUGCUGCAUCUUCAAUGGAUGCAGGUGGUUCCACAUCUAGUGAUAUUGAUCAGUGAUAGCGGUACAUCCUCUUCCCAGCUGACUUGGUGAGCCCCACUUCAUUUCGGGGUUAUGUAUCUUUUGUUCGUCGCGUAUUGUGUUUGAGGUAUAGCCGGGCCUUGUUGCCGACAUUAUCAUAGUACUCUUUUGUAUAUAUCAAAGGCUCCGUAGACUGUGAGUUGUGUACUGGUGUUGGGAAAGUCAAACUAUAUGGUGUUGUGGUUGUAUUACUUGUUCUAUUUAAGAAUUUAAAAUAAUGGAACUAUUGGUAAUAAAUUGGUAUUGUAGACAUGAGCAUCUUAUUGUCUAAUUAACAAAAAUGUGCAUCCUAUUUAUUAAUGGAUGAGUUUGCUCGGCCGGGUUCACUCGGUUGAGCGUCGGUCGCGCUCUAUAGUUUUGAGGCGUGACAAACUUGGCAUCGGAGCCUAAUGUUUUAAAGUGUCCUAGGAUAUCUUGGAGCCGUGUCUAGUAGAGUCUUUCUUAUCGGUAUGUUGUCGACCACAUCUAUAAUUAGGAUGAUACUUGGGGAUUUACGAAUAAUACCCUUCUUUCAUUUUCUUGAUCGUGCGAUAAACCUGGAUGUAAGAUUGUUCCUAUUUUAACUCGAGCUUUACUUUAACUUUCUAUAUAUUGCACCUAAGAAGAAGGCAAGAAUUGGCCAAAGAGCCAAUGUCACCCUAGGAGUAACAGUUGAUUCUAUAUAUGGUGAUGCGGGUGAGAAGCCAAGGAGUGAGAAUAUUCCUCCAGUUACUACACUACAUGAUUCUACUACAAGUGAUCAGACCGCACCUAUCCCUACACCUACUAAGGGUACAACGGUCCCUCUAACUGAUAUACCAAUUCCACCUCCAGUUCCAGCUUCUGAUUCUGGUGUUUCUGAUGUUGAUCUUCCAGGAGCCAUACAUAUGUUGUCUCUGAUAGUGGCUGCCCAAGCCUAGAGAUCAAAUGUUACACCUACUUCUUCCAGUCAACCAGGGGAUUCUACUAGUUCAAGGGUGAACAAGUUUCUCCAGUUGGAUCCUCCAAUGUUCGCGGGUACUAACCCAGAGGAGGAUCCAUAGGACUUCAUUGAUGAGACGCACAAGACUCUCUGAGUUAUGCAUGCUAUUGAGAUAGAUGAAUUGGAAUUAUCCUCCUACUACCUUAAAGAGGUGGCAUAUUCUUGGUUUGAACUAUGGGUGGAGUCCCGUGAAGAAGGGAACCCUCCGACGAGGUGGGGUGAGUUUGCCAAUGCAUUCAUUGAUCAUUUAUUUCCUACCAAGACUAAGGCAACAUGUGCUGCUGUGUUUGAGAACCUGAGGCACGAUUGCCUGAGUGUGUGGGAUUACCACAUAAGAUUCCGGUACCUAUCCAAGUAUGCUAUUUACAUGUUUCCUACUAUGGAGGCUAGAGUGCGACGAUUUGUUCACAGCCUUAGUCCCUUAGUAAUUAAUGAGGCCACUACAACUGCCUUGAAUUAUAAUAUGAACUAUGGAAAGAUGGUGGCAUUCGCUCAAGCCACCGAGAUCUGCAAAUUGAGGAACAUAAUGGAGACAGAGUGUAGUAAUCAGGCCUGGUUUGCGGGAAACUUUGGUGGUUCUUCUGGUGGCGGAAGGUCAGCCUUUAGGGGAGGGUCAUCAGCGCCAUCACAGUACCUUGCUCAGUCUUAGGCUAGUGCACUUCCAUAAGGGCCCAGUCAACAGCAGGGUCAUCAUGGUGGUAGUUUCCAGCAGCAGAGGAGGCCCUCGUGCCCUAGGAAUAGAAAGAUGCACCUAGUAAUAUUCUACAUGGACUUACCCAUAUGCUACAUAUGCAGAUUGAGGGGUCACAUUCAUAGGAAUUAUCGUUCGUCCCGCCAUGGGGCAGGCAGGGGCACUGCACAUCCAGCCAGUUCUGCAGCUACUACAUCCGUAAUACCUCCUCCAACUCAAGGCACUCAAAUACCUGCUGGGCUUGGUGGAGCUAGGGGUGGGGCACAAAGUUGGGGAGGAUCUGACCAUUUCUUUGCUAUAAGGGGUCGCCAGAAUUCAGAGGCUUCUCCAGAUGUGGUGAUAGGUAUAUUGACUGUCCAAUCUCAGAUGUGUAUGAUCUUAUUGAUCUAGGUUAUACUUUUUCAUAUGUCACACCUUAUGUUACUAUGGAAUUUGGGAUAGAACAGGAACAACUUCAAGAGUCAUUAUAUGCAUCUACUCCGGUUGGUGAGUUUAAUUUGGCCGCACAAGUUUAUAGGGAUUGUAUUAUCACGUUGCGUUGUCGGGACACCGUAGUUGAUCUUAUUGAAUUGAGAAUGGUCUAUUUUUAUGUGAUAAUGGGAAUGGAUUGGAUUUAUUCAUGUUUGACCAAACUUGAUUUCCGAAACAAAACUGUUAGGUUCAAAUUUCCAAAUGAGCCAGUUAUUGAAUGGAAGGGUGAUGAUGUAGUGUUGAAGGGUAGGUUUAUUUCUUACCUUAAGGCCACGAAAAGGAUCAACAAGGGGUGUAUUUACCAUUUGGUUUGGGUUUUGGACACCGAUUUUGAGGCACCUACACUUAAGUCAGUUCUUAUUGUGAAUGAAUUUUUGCAAGUCUUUCCGGAUAAACUCCAUGAAAUCCCACCUGACAGUGAGAUUGAUUUUGGGAUUGACGUGAUGCCAGACAUGCAUCCUAUAUCUAUUCCACCCUACCGAAUGGCACCAUUAAAAUUUAAGGAGCUAAAUGAACAAUUAAGAGACUUGUUAGAAAAGGGUUUCAUCCGACCGAGUGUGUCACCUUGGGGCGCACUGAUGAUUUCUGUAAGGAAGAAAGAUUUGUCACUGAGAAUGUGUAUUGGUUAUCAAUAACUUAAGAAGGUCACAAUCAAGAAUAAGUACUCACUGCCAAGGAUAAAUGACUUGUUUGACCAAUUACAAGGUGAUAAGUACUUGUCCAAAAUUGAUUUACGAUCCAGAUAUCAUCAAUUGAAGACCAGAGAGACACAUGUUCCGAAAAUGGCUUUUAGAACCAGGUAUGGGCAUUUUGAAUUUUUGGUGAUGUCUUUUGGGCUAACAAAUGCCCCAGUGGCAUUUAUGGAUCUUAUGAAUCGGGUAUUCAAACCUUUCCUCAACUCCUUCAUGAUAGUGUUCAUUGAUGAUAUUCUUGUUUGUUCGCGGAGUCAAGAGGACCAUGCCGAUCAUAUCAUGGUAGUUUUGUAGACUCUGUAUCAGCAGUUUUGAAAUGUGAAUUUUGGCUUGAAUUUGUUAUAUUAUUGGGUCAUGUUGUCUUUAGAGAAGGAAUUAUUGUUGUUCCUCAAAAUAUUGCAGUUGUGAAGAAUUGGCCGAGGCUUACAACUCCAACAGAGAUUCGCAGUUUCUUAGGCUUAGCUGGGUAUUACAGAAAAUUUAUGGAGGGUUUUUCUAUCCUUACCUCUCCGUUGACUAAAUUGACGCAGAAGGUAAUUAAGUUCCAAUGGUCAGAUGCUUGUGAAAGGAGCUUCGAGGAGUUGAAAUUGAGAUUGACUAUGGCACCAGUGUUGGAUCUACUAGACGAUAUUGAUGGAUUUGUAGUAAAUUGUGAUGCUUCGAGAAUCAGACUUGGGUGUGUAUUAUUGCAACACGACAAGGUGAUAGCUUAUGCUUCCAGGCAACUCAAGAAUCAUGAAAAGAACUAUCCAGCACAUGACUUAGAACUUGUGGCGGUAGUAUUUGUAUUGAAAAUUUUGCUUCAUUAUUUAUAGGGGGUCCAUGUGGAUAUAUUCACGGACCAUAAGAUCCUUCAAUAUAUUGUCAAGCAGAAGGAAUUGAAUUUGAGGCAAUGAAUAUGGCUUGAGUUACAUAAGGACUAUGACAUUGAUAUUCUAUAUCAUCCGAGGAAGGCUAAUGUUGUGGCAGAUACUCUUAGCUAGAAUUCUAUGGGUAGUUUAGCACACUUGGAGGUAUAUCAACGGUCAUUGGCCGAGGAAGUUUACCGAUUGGAUAGUUUGGGGGUUAGUCUUGCGGACUCUAGUGAAGGAGGGGUAAUUGUGCAAAAUAGGGCUGAAUCAUCGCUUGUUGUGGAAGUCAAAGAGAAGAAAUACAACGAUCCAUUAUUGGUGCAAUUGAAAGAGGUGAUUCAUAAACAUAAGACCAUGGCCUUUUCUCUUGGCAUGGGUCAUGGUACACUAAGAUACCAAGGGAGUCUAUGUGUUCCAAAUAUAGAUGGUCUCCGAGAGAAAAUCAUGAUAGAGGCUCACACUUCUAGGUAUUCUAUGCAUCCGGGUUCUACAAAUAUGUAUCAUGAUCUUAAAGAAGUCUAUUGGUGGAAUGAUAUGAANNNNNNNNNNNNNNNNNNNNNNNNNAAGAAGAUGAUUGUGUGUUCUUGAAUGUUUUACCCAUGAAAGAUAUAAUGUGAUUUGGUAAGAAAGGGAAAUUGAGUCCGAGGUAUGCCAGGCCGUACAGAAUCAUUCAGAGGAUCGGUGAGGUAGUGUACAAGCUUGAGCUACCACCGGAUAUAUCAUUGGUACACCCGGUGUUUCAUGUGUCUAUGUUGAAGAAAGUAAUUGGAGUCCCAACACUCAUUGUUCCGGUUGAGACUAUGGAUAUUAAUGAGGAAUUAACUUAUGAAGCGAUUCGAGUUUAUAUUAUUGAUAGGCAAGUCCAUAAGUUGAGAAAUAAGGAAAUUACCUCGGUGAAUGUGAUAUGGAGAAACCACCAAGUUGAAAAGGCUACUUGGGAGGCCGAGGAAGAAAUGAAGAAAAAGUAUACUUAUUUGUUUGAAUAGACAUGUAUUUAUAAUCUUGUGAUCUAUGAAAAUUCUAAGAGUUACUUUCUAUGAAUUAUGUAUCAUUUGUACAAAUUGACGUUAAGGGUGUUCCUUUUUGGUAAUAUAUUGCUUGUGAGGCCACAAUUGGUGUUGUUUUGUGUUAUGUUACAUCGUUGGAUUCUGUAUAUGUUGUUAGGAUGUGUUUUGGGAUUAUUUGACAUGUGGAUAGGCCCAGUUACAGGGGAGACUCUAGCGAAUGUUUUGGAAAUUUAGGGAGUUAGCCAAAUUUUGAAACUACUGGUGAGCGUGAAUUAACAGUUAGGCCACAUUUGAUGCUAAUAAUAGAUUGUGACCCUCAUUCGAUGACAAAUGAUCCUAAGUGGGGGAGAAUGUAAGGCCCCGUAAAAAUUUGAAAAAGAAAAUAAUAUUUUAUGGGGCUGGACUAGGCUUACGUGUUUGAGGAUUGUAGAGGAAAAAUGCACUGGAAAGUAAAGGAAAUAUUUGGGCAGAAGAAAUGCACUUCUGCAUGCGGCAGUGAUGGGCAAUUAUGAGACCAGGUUUGCAGUGCAUUAUGCGACUGCACACCAAUUCUGCGGUGCAUUAUGCGACUGCAGAACAGGUCUGCGGACCACAUAAUGACCGCAGACCAGGUCAGUCAUGCCUAGUUUUGGAUGCCAAAUUAUGCGGCCGAUAGGCGAACCGCAUAUCAAUAUUGCGAUCCCAUAUGCGAUCACAAACCUUGUUCCGUAGCUUCAUUUUUGUAUUUUUAAAACCCGACCCUACUUCGUUAAAUACACGCUUUGGGCUAUUUUUGAGAAAAAAUCUGACACUUUUAAAGUUAGAGAGUGCCCUAGAGUGAGAAGGUGUUCUUCAACAGUUUGUUUUUCAAUUCUUGCUCGAAUCUUGGAAGAUUAACAAGGAAAAACUCCCUAGGUCUUCAUCCUAAAGGUAAUAUUCUACACCCUAACCCUCAAUUUCGAAUUUUGUCUAGAAUUUGGUUAUUAGCAAGAUAAUUUUGGGCUUGGGAGUUGUCCAUCUUACAUGUAUGUAUUAUCAAAGGGUGUAGGAAGAUUGUGAAGCUAAAAACGGUAAACAAUGGGUUGUGGUAUGAUAGAAUCCUCUAUAAAAGGACCUUGAAACCUUAAUGCACACCUAGUGUUUUAUAAACUACUCAAAUGAGCUAGAAACAAGAUCAUCUUCCUAUUUUUUGAUCAAUUUGUUAUAUUUCUACAUUAGAUUAAAGUUUCAAAGAAUUACGGAACCUUUUAGAGUUUAAGGAAGUUCAACUGAGGUAUGUUGACUAAACCUUUCUCUUAGAAUUGAAUCCCACGAUAUUCAUGUAAUCUAUGUAAGUCCCGAGUGGUUCAUUAUGAAAUUGGCUAUUCCUAGUAAGAUUGUGUUAAAAGUUAUAUGUUUAAUAAGUACCCCAAAUACCUUAUUUAUGGUACGUUAUCAAUUGAGGAUAUGAUAAUAAUAUUAGCUGGACAUUAAAAAUGUUCGACUUGAAGUCAAAUUCAAACGAAGGCUAUUAUGCCAAAUUUUGUGAAGAAUCUCUAUUUGCCUUAGACUCUUAAUUGCUCACAUGUGUACUACAUGCCUUUAUUUGGAUUGUUGUUUUUGUUAUUGAUGAUGUUGAUGUUAGAAAGUGAAAAGGUGAGCAUGGAAUACUAAAUGCGGCCAACGUGCCAUGAAUGAUUUUAUAAAUAUGGCCAUUAGUGCCAAUGAAAUGAAAAUAUGUGAAAGAACUAUGAAAUGCGAUGAUUGAUAUAAAAAGGUUGAUGUCUCGAAUAAGACAGCCUAGCCGAUCAGGUCGUGAUCGAAUACCAUGCCGCACACAUGGUGGUGAUUGUCUUGAAAUUAUGAUUUGUGGUCGUGUAUCCAAUGAGAUAGCCUAGCCUAGUCAAUCGGAUCGUGAUCAGAUUCCAUGUUAAAUGUAUGGUGCUAUUGAUAUUGAGGGUGAUUGUGGUUGAUGUCUUUAAUGCUAUAUCCUAGUCGAUCGGAUCAUGAUCGGACUCCGUGCUUUGAGUACAGUGGUAUUGUUAUUGUGAAUAAUUGUAUUUGAACGAUGGUAUAUCAAUAAUAAGAAUCUUCAACUUAAAAAUAUGGAAAUUAAUUUGAAUACUAUCUUGAUCCUAAAAUUGAGGUUUGAUGUUGUUUAAGGCUUCGAUUGAUAUUAUGAUAUUCUUGUUUGUUUUAUUUAUCAUUCUAUUGAGAGGGUAUUUUGUCAGUCAUACUAGUACUAUUCCAUAUGUACUAACGUCCUUUUUGAAGGGGCAGCUGCCUCUUCAAUAGAUGCAGGUGGUUCCACAGCAGGAGAUAUUGAUUAGUGCUAGUGGUACGUCCUCUUCCCAGCUGAGUUGGUGAGCCCCACUUCAUUUCGGGAUUAUGUAUCUUUUGUUCCCCACGUAUUGUUUUUGAGGUAUAGCCGAGGCCUUGUUGCCGCCAUUAUCAUAGUACUCUUUUGUAUCUAUUAGAGACCCCAUAGACAUAGUGUGAGUUGUGUAUUGGUGUUGGAAAAGUCAAACUAUGUGGUGUUGUGGUUGUAUUACUUGGUCUAUUUAAGAAUUUAAAAUGAUGGAACUAUUGGUAAUAAAUUGGUAUUGUAGACAUGAACAUCUUAUUGUCUAAUUAACAAAAAUGUGUAUCCUAUUUAUUCAUGGAUGAGUUUGGAUAGAAGAAAAUCUAAUAGGCUUGGUCUGUCGGGUUCACGCGGUUGAUCGCCGGUCGCGCUCCCCGAUUUUGGCGCGUGAUAGCAGUCACUUAGAAAGCUAAAAAAUACAUAAAUCAGAAGAAUGAUAAAACUUCACAGCAUAUCCAGUAGUCUAGGCUAAGUAUUGUAAAGCUUACAAUUAGUUUCACAUGAAUCAUGCUACGGAGAAUAAGGAAAUGCUAAUAGAACAAGACAUGGUGAACUUCAUCAGAUUGUUUUUCACUUAAACAAAUAAAACCUUAUAGGUAUAGUAUCUAUAGAAACAAGACAAUCUUGUGACAAUAUGGAAUACCAUAUAUAGCUAAUAUAAACAAAGCAAACAAGUGAGUUUAAAUCAACAGAGGUUUAACAAAAACAGAACAAGACUAGUGUUAACGUCAUGAACUAUAACAUUGUAAGUAGACAAAUCUCAUAACAUGCUUCAUAUCCUAUUCAUGAUACAAGGUAUGAAAACACGAAUGUCAACAUGAACUUUCAUCAGUAUAUAUCCAAAUGGUCGAGUAUUAAAAAACACUAUCAGUGUCACACACUCAAAUUCAGACAUUGAGCUGAACGAAAAGGAAUUAAAAUAACCAUCCUUAGGACAACUUACCAGUUUUUUAUUUUUCCGUUAAGGAUUUGUACCCGGAGUCAGCUCAAGAACAAUUAGCCUCGAUUAGAAAUUAAAGAAAAAAAGGAUGGAAAGAUUGUGAGCGGAUAGAAAUUUUAAUUUUCUCGUGUAGUGAAUUUACUCUAUUGAUUUGUGUGUUUGUUAAGGGCAUUAAAGCUUGGUAUUUAUAGCCAAGUAAUUAGUGUUUUAGGGUUUGAGAUUUUGAACUUUUAUGACUAAUUAGUGACGAACUUUGACGAAACAUUUCAUGACGAAAUCUUCAGAAUAAAAUGAAUAAUCAGAGGGAAUAAUAUGUGAAGAUUUUACCCUCUAAAGAUGAUGAAGAACUAGCCGUUUGAAGUCGUUUAACCUCCGUACAAAAAUUUUCCUAGAGGUCCUUGCGUUUGACCUCCAUACCAUCAGAUGUCAUACAGAGGUCAUGAGAUUCCUCCGAAUCUUCUUGAAUCGAAGAUGCAUGCAAGGUUUUAUUGAGGGAUCAGGCGUGAAUGAAAGUUUGAUGAUGAGAUUCUUAGGGUUUAUUUUUUGGGGAUAGUGUUUAGGUGUUUGGAAUUUGAAGGGAGAUGAUAGAAAGGGGAAUGUUUUGGUAGUGAUCUCAUAGUGACCUUGCACGGAUUUAUGCUAGGGUUCAGGUAUUUCCAGAGGUGUGAGAGGAUGAGAGAGAUGAGAGAAAAAGGUUAAGGGGCGGCUGGUAUGGUGGAUAUAAUGAUUAGGGUUUUAAGGGGUUGUGUACGUUAAAA
rnacentral:lncRNA from 1 species